GACGAACGCUGGCGGCGUGCCUAAUACAUGCAAGUAGAACGCACAGUUUAUACCGUAGCUUGCUACACCAUAGACUGUGAGUUGCGAACGGGUGAGUAACGCGUAGGUAACCUGCCUGGUAGCGGGGGAUAACUAUUGGAAACGAUAGCUAAUACCGCAUAAUAUUAAUUAUUGCAUGAUAAUUAAUUGAAAGGUGCAAUUGCACCACUACCAGAUGGACCUGCGUUGUAUUAGCUAGUAGGUGAGGUAACGGCUCACCUAGGCGACGAUACAUAGCCGACCUGGGAGGGUGAUCGGCCACACUGGGACUGAGACACGGCCCAGACUCCUACGGGAGGCAGCAGUAGGGGAUCUUCGGCAAUGGACGAAAGUCUGACCGAGCAACGCCGCGUGAGUGAAGAAGGUUUUCGGAUCGUAAAGAUCUGUUGUAAGGGAAGAACGGGUGUGAGAGUGGAAAGUUCACACUGUGACGGUAUCUUACCAGAAAGGGACGGCUAACUACGUG
rnacentral:rRNA from 1 species